AAAAAAAAAAAAAAAAAGUUGCAGCUCUUUUAAACAUUGACAUUCUUAUCAUUUUGUGUGCUUGGUGCCAGCCACAGGCUAACGGUGUCUAAGUGGAUUUCUCUUUGAGCAUCUUUCCCCACCAACUGAGAAGCAAGCUCCUCCUUGAGUUUCUGGAGGAAGGCACUGCUUCAGAGAGAAAGCUGAGAACUCAAGAAGCAGCAUCUGACUGAGGUUGCAGGGUGCUUUCUGCAGUGGGAAUUCACAGUCAGGUUGACUGGAUCACCUCCAGGACACCAGAAGGUAGGAAGCACAAAAUGGUAAGUCAGCGUGUACGUAAGAUGGGACAUACAUGCAGCGAUGUCUAUGAGAUACAGCACAUAUGUGGUGUUUCUAUGUCCUAAAUAUUUCCCAGGAUUGACAUAUUGAAUGCUGGUA